rnacentral:rRNA from 1 species
AGGUUUCUGGAGGAAGGUUCGUCCGCUCCAGGUUAGUCGGGAGCUAAGGUGAGGCCUAACGGCGUAGCCGAUGCACAGACGGUAGAGAUUCCGUCACCACCAAAAGAGUUAAACACAGGGACACAUAUGAAGUCUCGGAGCCGGGUGUUGGUUCCGGUAGCGAUCGAGGGAAGUUAGUACCGAAGUCUGAGAUGGAAGAUGGCGAGAAAAGCUGUGUGUAUUUCUGCGGUGCCCGUACCGCAAACCGACACAGG